rnacentral:rRNA from 1 species
CCCUUAGACGUUCUGGGCCGCACGCGCGCUACACUGACCAGUGCAACAAGCAUCCGUACUUGGCCGACAGGCCCGGGCAAUCUUUGAACGCUGGUCGUGAUGGGGAUAGACUUUUGCAAUUUUUGGUCUUCAACGAGGAAUUCCUAGUAAACGCAAGUCAUCAACUUGCAUUGAUUACGUCCCUGCCCUUUGUACACACCGCCCGUCGCACCUACCGAUUGAAUGGUCCGGUGAAGCCUCCGGAUUGGCGCGCACCUCGGUGCCGCCGAGAAGUUGGCUAAACCUUACCAUUUAGAGGAAGGUGAAGUCGUAACA